rnacentral:tRNA from 1 species
GCGACCAUAGUGUAAUGGUUAACACGGGAGUCUGUGGAACUCCAGGUACGGGUUCAAUCCCCGUUGGUCGCCCA